UAAUUUAGUAUAAACUAUUGUCAAUAGUUAGGUUUAAACUUUAUAAAUUAA
rnacentral:tRNA from 1 species